rnacentral:rRNA from 1 species
GUGGGGAAUCUUGCGCAAUGGGCGAAAGCCUGACGCAGCCAUGCCGCGUGAAUGAUGAAGGUCUUAGGAUUGUAAAAUUCUUUCACCGGGGACGAUAAUGACGGUACCCGGAGAAGAAGCUCCGGCUAACUUCGUGCCAGCAGCCGCGGUAAUACGAAGGGGGCUAGCGUUGCUCGGAAUUACUGGGCGUAAAGGGCGCGUAGGCGGACAGCUUAGUCAGAGGUGAAAGCCCAGGGCUCAACCUUGGAAUUGCCUUUGAUACUGGCUGUCUUGAGUGUGGGAGAGGUGCGUGGAACUCCGAGUGUAGAGGUGAAAUUCGUAGAUAUUCGGAAGAACACCAGUGGCGAAGGCGACUCACUGGCCCAAUACUGACGCUGAGGCGCGAAAGCGUGGGGAGCAAACAGGAUUAGAAACCCGAGUAGUCC